rnacentral:rRNA from 1 species
UACGUAGGAGACGAGCGUUGUCCGGAAUUACUGGGCGUAAAGCGCGUGUAGGCGGCUGGGCAAGUCUGCUGUGAAAGCUCCUGGCUUAACCGGGAGUGGUCGGUGGAAACUGCCCGUCUGGAGGACGGUAGAGGUAGGUAGAAUUCCCGGUGUAGUGGUGAAAUGCGUAGAGAUCGGGAGGAAUACCUGUGGCGAAGGCGGCCUACUGGGCCGGACCUGACGCUGAGACGCGAAGGCGUGGGGAGCGAACGGG